UUCCGGUUGAUCCUGCCGGACCCGACUGCUAUUUGGGUGAGAAUAAGCCAUGCGAGUUGAAUGGGAUACCUAAAUUUUCCAUAGCAAACUGCUCAGUAACACAUGAUCAACUUACCCUAUAGAGAAAAAUAACCUCGGGAAACUGAGGAUAAUGUUUCAUAGUUGAAAAGGCUUGGAAAAGUUUUUCAAUAAAAAGGAUAAGAAAAAUGGUUCUUAUCCGCUAUAGGAUAGGAUCGUGCUCGAUUAUGGUUGUUGGUGAGGUAAUGGCUCACCAAGCCGAUAAUCGAUGGGGGCCGUGAGAGCGGGAGCCCCGAGAUGGGUACUGAGACAACGACCCAGGCCUUACGAGGCGCAGCAGGCGCGAAACCUCAGCAAUACACGAAAGUGUGACUGGGUUACCCAAAGUGUUCAGUUUUGAACUGUGGUAGGUGAGUAAUGUCCCCUACUAGAAAGGAGAGGGCAAGGCUGGUGCCAGCCGCCGCGGUAAAACCAGCUCUUCAAGUGGUCGGGAUAAUUAUUGGGCUUAAAGUGUCCGUAGCCUGUUUAGUAAGUUCCUGGUAAAAUCGGGUAGCUUAACUAUCUGUAUGCUAGGAAUACUGCUAAACUAGAGGGCGGGAGAGGUCUGAGGUACUACAGGGGUAGGGGUGAAAUCUUAUAAUCCUUGUAGGACCACCAGUGGCGAAGGCGUCAGACUGGAACGUGCCUGACGGUGAGGGACGAAAGCCAGGGGAGCGAACCGGAUUAGAUACCCGGGUAGUCCUGGCCGUAAACGAUGCAUACUAGGUGAUGGCAUGGCCAUGAGCCGUGUCAGUGCCGUAGGGAAACCGUUAAGUAUGCCGCCUGGGAAGUACGGUCGCAAGGCUAAAACUUAAAGGAAUUGGCGGGGGAGCACCACAAGGGGUGAAGCCUGCGGUUCAAUUGGACUCAACGCCGG
rnacentral:rRNA from 1 species